rnacentral:rRNA from 1 species
GACGAACGCUGGCGGCGUGCUUAACACAUGCAAGUCGAACGGAAAGGCCCUGCUUUUGUGGGGUGCUCGAGUGGCGAACGGGUGAGUAACACGUGAGUAACCUGCCCUUGACUUUGGGAUAACUUCAGAAAACUGGGGCUAAUACCGGAUAGGAGCUCCUGCUGCAUGGUGGGGGUUGGAAAGUUUCGGCGGUUGGGGAUGGACUCGCGGCUUAUCAGCUUGUUGGUGGGGUAGUGGCUUACCAAGGCUUUGACGGGUAGCCGGCCUGAGAGGGUGACCGGCCACAUUGGGACGGAGAUACGGCCCAGACUCCUACGGGAGGCAGCGGUGGGAAUAUUGCACAAUGGGCGGAAGCCUGAUGCAGCAACGCCGCGUGCGGGAUGACGGCCUUCGGGUUGUAAACCGCUUUCGCCUGUGACGAAGCGUGAGUGACGGUAAUGGGUAAAGAAGCACCGGCUAACUACGUG